AGUCGAACGAGAAGCACCUUCUGGGUGUGGAUAGUGGCGCACGGGUGAGUAACGCGUGGGAACCUACCUUGUAGUACGGAAUAGCCUCGGAAAACUGGGAGUAAUACCGUAUACGCCCUUCGGGGGAAAGAUUUAUCGCUAUAAGAUGGGCCCGCGUUGGAUUAGCUUGUUGGUGAGGUAAUGGCUCACCAAGGCUCCGAUCUAUAGCUGGUCUGAGAGGAUGAUCAGCCACACUGGAACUGAGACACGGUCCAGACUCCUACGGGAGGCAGCAGUGAGGAAUAUUGGACAAUGGGGGCAACCCUGAUCCAGCCAUGCCGCGUGAGUGAAGAAGGCCUUCGGGUUGUAAAACUCUUUCAGAUGGGAAGAUGAUGACGGUACCAUCAGAAGAAGCCCCGGCUAACUUCGUGCCAGCAGCCGCGGUAAUACGAAGGGGGCUAGCGUUGUUCGGAAUCACUGGCCG
rnacentral:rRNA from 1 species